GAGAGGGAGGCAGCGAGAGAGAGAGUUGCGCACACCCUGAGCCUCUCCUCUCCCGCACAGAUCCAGUGUGGCGCACUGAUAGGCGGCAGUCCUCAGAAAGUGGGAAGUUUUCGCCAAAAGCUUCUGUGUGAGAAUUAAUCACCUUCAUGUCGACUCUGUUGGAUACUAACCCGCCGAUGCUAUGGUUACCUUUAUUACGAUUUUGCAGGUGAAUCUAGUGAUGUCCAUCCUGCUGUAUGUGAUGGCCCUUGUGUACCUGUAUGGUAUUCAAGCAUCUAGCAUGAACAGCACCCACAAGGGACAGCAGCAGCACCCGCCGAGCCCCGACCCGUUGAACUCCCUCAUAAUCCAGCUGCUGCAGGCCGACCUGACGAGGGAGCGGACCCCGGGGAGCCACCGGCAGCAGGGGAGAGGCAGGGACGCCAAGCACCACGAUCCCAUCCUCCCCGUGUCGGGGCCAAGCUUACCGGAGGACGGCGAGCCGUGGGGCGCGGGCGGCCGCAGCGGUGGGAGCAGCGAAGGCGUCGUGGAGCAGCAGGUGACGCUGGUGAACUCUGACCUUCUGCGGAACCACAAGAGAUACAUUUCUCCGCGGGUGGUGCUGAGCGACCGGCCGCCGCUCCAGCCGCCUCCCCUGUACCUGGCGGACGACUUCGUGAGCGGCGGGCCGGAGGGAGCGGCGGCGGGAAACAAAACGCGGAAGAAGCGGCAGGCCGAACACCGGAGUUACCGCGGGGAGUAUUCUGUCUGCGACAGCGAGAGCAAGUGGGUGAUGGACAAAACCAGCGCCAUGGACCUACGGGGAAUCAACGUGACGGUCAUGGCCAAAGUUAAAACCUUCGACAAGCGGGAGGUCAAGCAGUUUUUCUACGAGACGAACUGUCGAGGUGAAGAUGGGCCGUCCAGAGCCAAAGAAAGGCAGUGCAGGGGGAUCGACGAAAAAAACUGGAGCUCUCAGUGCAAGACGACGCAGACGUUUGUUCGCGCGCUGACGCAGGACCACAGCGGCAUGGUGGGCUGGAGGUGGAUACGCAUAAACACUUCCUGCGUCUGCGCGUUGUCGAGGAGAAAACGCAAGACGUAAAAUUCAAGUUUCUCUGAACCAGAACCAGUGGAGUUCCACUUUUCUUCUUCUGGGAUUUUAUUUCCACAGCAAACCGCACCGCAGGAUUGGGUGCGGUGGUAGCGGACCACGACGUUCUGCUCCCGACAAUCUGUCUGAAGAAGUCCGGGGUCCAUUUGAAUGCGAUUUCAAACUAAUGUGCUGUAAGCUGUAACGGAAGAACUCAUUCGAGAGGGCGAGGACUGCGCAACGGAGAACUAAGAUUCCUUAAAAUGGAAAUGAGAAAAAAGAAGCGAAGCGUAAACCUGACUUUAAGACUAUAAUGCGAAGCUAAGGGGCUGCAAAGGUGCUUCACAGCGAGACUUGUAAGUGCCUUCACUGAAGAGUGAGUAGCAGGAAAUGGCAGCGACAAACGUUUUGGCAACGAGUCCGUAGUAAGGCGACCCAUCAGCAGGGACCUGUCCCGUCCCGCCGACCCGACACGAAGCCCGCACGAGGCCAGCGACACAAUCAAGAGGUUGCUAGACAACCAAAAUGCAAGAUCUGUAACAAGAAAUCUUUUCAGUUUCUUCGCCAGCCGUCAAGUUUUGCUUCUUGUGGUUUCAUUUGUUUCAUCCUUUGAAUAAAAAGCCCAUAUAUCCCGAAGUUGGACAUUUUAUAUUUAAAAAAAAUAUAUAUAUAUAUAUAUUAAGACCCAUUUCAAAUUGUUACAGUGCCAAAGAUUAGAUAUGUAAGAGGAUAAUAAAUGUCUUUAUUCUUCUUUUCACAGCUUACCUUCCGAAUCUGUUUUGAUUUCACAGUUUUCACGGUUGGUCGAAGUGACUGGUGUUUGGUUUUACCCAAAAGCGACUUUGCAGGUUUGUCCAUUUUCAACAUCGUUUGAGGGGCAGUUGGCAGUGAGCCUGUUUAACACCUGAUCAUUUUAUAUGAUUUUUUUUUUUGUAAGUAAAGGUUAGGUACUAUCCUGAACAAUACUUAGUCUAAUGAACAUAAAACGAAAACUGAAAGGAAUCUCCAUAACUGGGAUUUUUUAUUUUUUACAUGUUGAGAGAAGUGCUUCUCCUAUAGCCUCUCAAGUAUAUAUUCUAAAAUAGGUUGCAUUUGCCAAAAAAAAAAAAAA